rnacentral:rRNA from 1 species
CCCUUAGAUGUUCUGGGCAGCACGCGCGCUACAAUGGUCUUCGCAAACGGAUGCAUUCUCGAAGGAGAAUGCCAAUCUUGGAAUCUAUGCCUUGGUCGGGACAGUUGCUUGCAAUUUUUCGACUCGAACCAGGAAUUCCUUGUAAUCGUGAUUCAUCACAUCACGAUGAAUACGUCCCUGCCCUUUGUACACACCGCCCGUCGCUCCUACCGAUCGAAGAGUUAGGUGAAUUGUUUUCAUCGAUAAGAUUUGACUAUGGUCAACUCUCGUUGUGAAAUUCUGUGAAUCUGACUGUUUAGAGGAAGGAAAAGUCGUAACA